GAUUACUAGCGAUUCCAGCUUCACGCAGUCGAGUUGCAGACUGCGAUCCGGACUACGAUCGGUUUUCUGGGAUUGGCUCCACCUCGCGGCUUGGCAACCCUCUGUUCCGACCAUUGUAUGACGUGUGAAGCCCUACCCAUAAGGGCCAUGAGGACUUGACGUCAUCCCCACCUUCCUCCGGUUUGUCACCGGCAGUCUCCCUGGAGUGCUCUUGCGUAGCAACUAGGGACAAGGGUUGCGCUCGUUGCGGGACUUAACCCAACAUCUCACGACACGAGCUGACGACAGCCAUGCAGCACCUGUGUUACGGCUCCCUUUCGGGCACUUCCACCUCUCGGCAGAAUUCCGUACAUGUCAAGGGUAGGUAAGGUUUUUCGCGUUGCAUCGAAUUAAUCCACAUCAUCCACCGCUUGUGCGGGUCCCCGUCAAUUCCUUUGAGUUUUAAUCUUGCGACCGUACUCCCCAGGCGGUCAACUUCACGCGUUAGCUAC
rnacentral:rRNA from 1 species